AUCCAUAUAAUAUAGGAACGAAAAAAAAUAAGGGAUGGAUGCAGAUCAGGUCGGAUCGGGUCGGAUUGGGUCAUUUAUCUCAAGACCCAAAUCAACCUAAAAAUCUCCACAGAUCAGAUCAGAUCAGAUCAAAAUUCAGUAAAUUCAAAUUCGAUUUAAAAAAUAGAACAGAUCCAAUUUUAGAACCCGAUCAGGAUCCACGGAUCCUUCAAAGUGAUUCGGAUCGGGUUUAUGCAGGUCGGAUCGGGUUUAUGCAGGUU
rnacentral:lncRNA from 1 species